rnacentral:misc_RNA from 1 species
UAGCGGACACCCAAGAACUUACAGUAG